UUCAGCAACCCACUACACAAUGCAAACAUUUCACAUCUGUGAAGAGCAAGAAAUUUAAAAGUUUAAAGAAAAUUUGCAAAGAUAAAGGGGAGAGCAGUUUGCAGGAGAUCCACUUACUGUAAAUACGCCUGCAGACGGUGUCAGCCGAGUGACUGCCAGCUGCGGUCACAAGUGUGGCUGAACUAUUGCUAUACAUCUCAACAGACUUAGAGCAAAUAGGAGUUGAAAAGAAGACUUAACUCAAGUGACUGUGGGACUAGAAAGCCUUGGGCUAGUUCAUUAUCAAUAUCAGAGCUUAAAGGCUAUUGACAAGUCAAUUACUGUAAAAUGACAAGCAAGAAAGAACUUUAGCCAGGUAAGACAAAUGUUUUUGAAAUAGUAUCUGUAGGAAUUCUGAAUUAUUAAAUUUCUCUCUAUGUUAUUUGCUAAAAAAAAUAAACUCUCCUUUGCUGAUCCGCC
rnacentral:lncRNA from 1 species